AGGACGAACGCUGGCGGCGUGCCUAACACAUGCAAGUCGAACGCGCUCCAUUCGGUAGCAAUACUGAUGAAGAGCGAGUGGCGAACGGGUGAGUAGCACGUGAGCAACCUGCCCCGAAGACUGGGACAACACCGGGAAACCGGUGCUAAUACCGGAUAUCCUUAUUGGACCGCAUGAUCCAAUAAGGAAACGUUUUUCGCUUCGGGAGGGGCUCGCGGCCUAUCAGCUUGUUGGUGGGGUAAUGGCCUACCAAGGCAUCGACGGGUAGCUGGUCUGAGAGGACGAUCAGCCACACUGGGACUGAGACACGGCCCAGACUCCUACGGGAGGCAGCAGUGGGGAAUCUUGCGCAAUGGGCGAAAGCCUGACGCAGCAACGCCGCGUGGAGGACGAAGGCUUUCUGAGUUGUAAACUCCUUUCAGCAGGGACGAUUGUGACGGUACCUGCAGAAGAAGCACCGGCCAACUACGUGCCAGCAGCCGCGGUAAU
rnacentral:rRNA from 1 species